AUACGGAGGGUGCGAGCGUUAUUCGGAAUUACUGGGCGUAAAGCGCGUGUAGGCGGGGAUGCAAGUCUGAUGUGAAAGCCCUGGGCUUAACCUGGGAAGUGCAUUGGAAACUGCAUUUCUUGAGUACUGGAGAGGAAGGGGGAAUUCCCGGUGUAGAGGUGAAAUUCGUAGAGAUCGGGAGGAAUACCAGUGGCGUAGGCGCCCUUCUGGACGGUAACUGACGCUGAGACGCGAAAGCGUGGGGAGCAAACAGGAUUAGAUACCCUGGUAGUCCACGCUGUAAACGAUGAUCACUAGGUGUAGCGGGUACUCAUUCCUGCUGUGCCGUAGCUAACGCGUUAAGUGAUCCGCCUGGGGAUUACGGUCGCAAGACUAAA
rnacentral:rRNA from 1 species